UACAGAGGGUGCAAGCGUUAUCCGGAUUCACUGGGUUUAAAGGGUGCGUAGGCGGACAGGUAAGUCAGUGGUGAAAUCUCUGGGCUUAACCCAGAAACUGCCGUUGAUACUAUUUGUCUUGAAUAUCCUGGAGGUAGGCGGAAUAUGUCAUGUAGCGGUGAAAUGCUUAGAUAUGACAUAGAACACCGAUAGCGAAGGCAGCUUACUACAGGAUGAUUGACGCUGAGGCACGAAAGCGUGGGGAGCAAACAGG
rnacentral:rRNA from 1 species